UUAAUAGAAGCCAAAAUAGAGGCAUAUCACUGUUAAUGAUAAAAUUGAAAUUAAAAUCCUAUUAAA
rnacentral:tRNA from 1 species